rnacentral:rRNA from 1 species
GAUGAACGCUGGCGGCGUGCCUAAUACAUGCAAGUCGAGCGAACAGACGAGGAGCUUGCUCCUCUGACGUUAGCGGCGGACGGGUGAGUAACACGUGGAUAACCUACCUAUAAGACUGGGAUAACUUCGGGAAACCGGAGCUAAUACCGGAUAAUAUAUUGAACCGCAUGGUUCAAUAGUGAAAGACGGUUUUGCUGUCACUUAUAGAUGGAUCCGCGCCGCAUUAGCUAGUUGGUAAGGUAACGGCUUACCAAGGCAACGAUGCGUAGCCGACCUGAGAGGGUGAUCGGCCACCCUGGAACUGAGACACGGUCCAGACGCCUACGGGAGGCAGCAGUAGGGAAUCUUCCGCAAUGGGCGAAAGCCUGACGGAGCAACGCCGCGUGAGUGAUGAAGGUCUUCGGAUCGUAAAACUCUGUUAUUAGGGAAGAACAAAUGUGUAAGUAACUAUGCACGUCUUGACGGUACCUAAUCAGAAAGCCACGGCUAACUACGG